ACAAACUUGGUCAUUUAGAGGAAGUAAAAGUCGUAACAAGGUUUCCGUAGGUGAACCUGCGGAAGGAUCAUUAACAAAUCACGGGGUGGGUAUGGGUUGAGGAGUGAUCCUCUGCUGUCCCCACCCACAUACACCCCAAGCCUGGGAAGGGCCCCUUGGGGCUUGGAACGGCUUUGGUGGCAGUGCCGCCUCUUCACGGGGGCGGGGCUGCAGGCUGGGUCCUCACGGGCCCAGGCCACAUAGACGCUUGGCUGUUUGACAGAGUAGUAGUCAUUGCAUAAUGAUACAACUUUUAACAAUGGAUCUCUUGGCUCCUGCAUCAAUGAAGAACGCAGC
rnacentral:misc_RNA from 1 species